GACGAACGCUGGCGGCGUGCUUAACACAUGCAAGUCGAACGGUAAGGCUCCAGCUUGCUGGGGUACACGAGUGGCGAACGGGUGAGUAACACGUGGGUGACCUGCCCUGCACUUCGGGAUAAGCCUGGGAAACUGGGUCUAAUACCGGAUAGGACCAUGGGGUGGAUACUGUGGUGGACAGUUUUUUCGGUGUGGGAUGGGCCCGCGGCCUAUCAGCUUGUUGGUGGGGUAAUGGCCUACCAAGGCGGCGACGGGUAGCCGGCCUGAGAGGGUGGACGGCCACAUUGGGACUGAGACACGGCCCAGACUCCUACGGGAGGCAGCAGUGGGGAAUAUUGCACAAUGGGCGGAAGCCUGAUGCAGCGACGCCGCGUGGGGGAUGACGGCCUUCGGGUUGUAAACUCCUUUCACCAUCGACGAAGGGUUUCUGACGGUAGAUGGAGAAGAAGCACCGGCUAACUACGUG
rnacentral:rRNA from 1 species